CUGUGAGCUACGAACCAAACGAUCACGUUCGGGUGCAAGAUUUCUGGCUUUUCCUUCUUUAUAGAGCCUUCGAUCACUCCCCUCCUUCGUGCAAGAUAGCCCCGCCUCCUUACCCAGAGGAGGCUGAUGGAGGAGUUCGAUGAAGCUGAUGUAUUGUGGCCCGACGAUGCUCGUGGAGCAGAUGAGCUCGCUGAGCAGCAGCAUUCCAGGCGGGGAUCACGACAGAAGGCGUCCAGCCCCGUCGAGAUCCCUUCAAGACCUCGAGCUGCUCAUCGUACCAUCCGUGACGGUGGAGAUGACGCCAAAAGUAGCAGCGGUGAUGGUGAUGAUGAUGGCAGCGGUGACCACAGAGUUCCGCCGCACAUCAUCGUGGCCCGGAGGAAGACGACCUUCUCGGUGUGCGUCGGCGACGGCAGGACGCUCAAGGGACGGGAGCUUUGCCAUGUCAGGAACUCGAUCCUCCGGAUGACCGGAUUCCUGGAGAGAUGAUCCAGGAAAGAGCACGGGAACUGCAUGAAGCGCCAGAAGCUAGUAGUGGUGGUCAUGGCUGUGAGGUACAGGCCACCCAUCUCUUCGCCGCCGUCUCCUUUCUGCUCCUUCUGAGCCCUCCUGUUUCGUCUCCUUCACCGCCCCUCCAUCUCCUCCUCAACCAAUGGAGACGGAGUUACACUUUUGUCCUAACAAGGCAUUAAUUGGGCCUAUGAAAGCCCAAUCUCAUCAUGGAAACGAUGCUGCCUCGGUGACCGGCUAUUACCGGUUUCUCGAAUCUUAAAAGCGCAAACGGCUACCCGGACCUUUCAAAUUUCCAAAUCCCUCUUUGCCUCAGUGAUGGCGGCCAACGCUUUCCAGAGCUCUACCCCCAUGAAGACCCCCAACCCUAAGAACCAUUCCUCCGCCUCCCGGAGAGCUCCGCCGCCCAAUCAGAUGGACUCCGUCUCCGCCGUCGCGGAUUUCAAGUCCCGCUUCGAGGCCUACAACCGCCUCCAGGCGGCCGCCGUCGCCUUCGGCGAGAGGCUCCCCAUCCCGGAGAUCGUGGCCCUUGGCGGCCAAUCUGAUGGCAAAAGCUCGCUACUUGAAGCCCUCCUCGGCUUCCGGUUCAACGUGCGGGAGGUCGAGAUGGGCACUCGGAGGCCUCUCGUGCUCCAGAUGGUUCACGAUCCCUCAGCCCUCGAACCCCGCUGCAGAUUCCAGGAAGAGGAUUCGGAGGAGUACGGGGGUCCAAUUGUUUUGGCUUCUGCGAUCGCUGAUCUUAUAAGAUCACGAACAGAGGCGCAUCUGAGAAAGCUCCAAGCUUCCGUUUCUUCUAAGCCAAUCGUGAUGAGAGCCGAAUAUGCCCAUUGCCCUAAUCUCACCAUCAUUGACACCCCUGGCUUUGUUCUUAAGGCAAAGAAAGGCGAGCCAGAGAGUACGCCAACUGAGAUUUUGUCAAUGGUGAAGUCACUUGCAAGCCCUCCUCAUCGUCUUCUCCUGUUCCUCCAGCAGAGCAGUGUGGAAUGGUGUUCUUCGCUUUGGUUAGAUGCAAUUCGUGAGAUUGAUCCCACUUUCAAACGCACAAUGAUAGUCGUCUCCAAGUUCGAUAACCGGUUGAAGGAAUUUACUGAACGGUGGGAAGUGGACAACUAUUUGAGCGCCAAUGGUUAUCUUGGUGAGAACAUUCGCCCAUAUUUUGUGGCACUGCCCAAGGACCGAGGCAGCGUCUCAAACGAGGAAUUUCGCAGACAGAUUUCUCAGGUAGACGCAGAAGUACUGCGUCAUUUGCGUGAUAGUGUCAAUGGAGGAUUCGAUGAGGAAAAGUAUGGACCAUAUGUUGGAUUUAGUUGUCUCAGACAAUACUUGGAAUCUGAGCUUCAAAGGAGAUACAAGGAAGCAGCUCCUGCAACACUUGCCCUGUUAGAACAGCGUUGUAAUGAAGUCUCCAUCGAAUUAGCUCGGGUGGAAUCUAAGUUACAGGCAACCUCUGACGUUUGCCAUCUUCGGAGGUCAGCCAUGUUGCACGUAGCCUCUAUUUGCAGUCAUAUGGUGGCACUAAUUGAUGGAGCAUCAGAUCCUGCUCCUGAAGAGUGGGGUAAAACCACUGACGAAGAGCAGUCAGAUAGUGGCAUUGGCAGCUGGCCGGGAGUCACCGUGGCCGUGAAGCCUCCCAAUCACACCCUUAAACUCUAUGGUGGAGCAGCAUUUGAGAGAGCAAUGCAUGAAUUCCAAUGUGCUACAUACUCCAUCGAGUGCCCACUGGUUUCUAGAGAAAAGGUCGCAAAUAUACUGCUCGCUCAUGCCGGCAGAGGAGGGGGUGGAGGCUUAACCGAGGCAGCUGCUGAAAUAGCACGCGCAGCAGCACGAGCAUGGCUUGCUCCUCUUCUUGAUGCUGCGUGCGAACGACUCUCCUUUGUUCUCAAGAGCCUUUUUGACUUGGCUUUGGAGCGCAAUCGAAGCCAUGACUCCGACUAUUGGAGGAAAACUGGUGAUAUGGAUGGGUAUAUCGGAUUUCAUGCUGCUCUAAGGCGUUCUUACAACAACUUCAUCCAGGAUCUCUCCAAGCAAUGCAAGGAAAUAGUGCAACAUCAUCUCAGUUCAGUGACCAGCCCAUACUCCCAAGUGUGCUAUGAAAAUGAUCUUGUAGGUGAUGUUGGCAGAUUUAACCAGCUCUCUGCCACCUCAUUUGUUCUGGACCUGUCAGAUGCAAAGGAUGAAAUGGUUGCAGAUCAAGAGAACAUACCACCCAAGGAUCAACAGCAUUCAACACCUGGUAAAGCAACUGAAGCAAAGGAUGCUCUUAGGGAAAGCCAAAUGACAGUUCCUGAGACGCCUUCACCUGAUCAGCCACAAGAGGUUUAUGGGGUCAAGAAGGAUACUGUGAACUUGAUGGAUAUUGGAGGAAGAAAACGGCAAGCGAGAAUUAUAACUUCUGGAAGAAAUUUGGAAGCUAACAGGAACCAAAACACUAGCAUUUUGUUUGGUGCAGGUAAUAAGGGCUCAAGAACAGGAUCAUCAUAUGCUGAGAUCUGUUCUAUGUCAGCUCAACAUUUUGCCAGGAUACGUCAGGUCCUCAUCGAGAGAAACAUUCCAUCAGCCUUGAGUGCUGGAUUCCUGACUCCCUGUCGCGAGAGGCUGUUCGUUGCUCUUGGCCUUCAGCUGUUCGCCGUGAAUGAUGAGAAGUUCAUGGACAUGUUUGUGGCGCCGGGUGCGAUCGAUGUCCUUCAAGGCGAGAGGCAGUCACUAAACAAGCGCCAAAAGGUCUUGCAAUCUUGUUUGAACGAGUUCAAGAACAUCGCCCGGGCACUCUGAGUGCAAUUCUCGCUGGCGCUGAAGCUGCUUUGGAUUUGGAAGAUGAUUCCCUGCCGAUGGAAAAGGCAUCUCUGAAGAUGCAAUCGAAAUAUCACUGUCAAUUUCUUUAUGACAGGCAAUGAACGAGUGUAGCAUCCCAAAACGAGGUGCCAGUCGUCAGGCCCCGUCGACGAGAGUUUCAUCCUCGACCCGGCCGAUCUCACCGCCAGCCAACGCCUUCUUCCCUUGUUGAGACCGGUCCGGCGAAGGAACCGAGCGCCGGUAGCAACAUAGCAUUCGGCCCAGCGAUCAACGGUUUCGUUCUCGAGCCGUUAUAUCUCGGGAUGACAUGGCCCAUCUCGCGGACGGCUCUGAUUAACCUAUAUAUCUAAUCUUCGUAGUCUUGACGAGGAUAAUAAUUAUGAUAAGACUCGGCUGACGUCAGCCGACGCCUCAUGCCUCGAUCGGCGCGAUUGCACUCGGUCAAUCGAACCGGAACGCUGGCCGAGGCGCAUUAACGCCCAUUCAGGCUCGGUUCUUUACGCCACGCCAACGCCCAUGUCAGACACUAUCAGCCUGCCUCCUACAGGCGAGCACAUCGAACAACAGUAAACUUCCCUAUAAAUACUCUCUCGUUCAGCAGAGGAGAGGGGGAAAAAAACUCUUCUUCAUCUAAAAUCCCUUCUACAUCUGCUAACUUGGUCGUCGGAGGGGUCGGGCCGAGCACUCCGACCCGACCUUUGUACAGGUGCGAAGCCGAGGGUCCUCGUCGGACGCGCGGACGAGGAGUUCUUAUUCGGAGGAAACGGCGACCCCGUCCCGAUCGGACCAUCGCACCAGACCGACCCCACGGGCUCGAGGAAUGCCCCGGAGAGAUCCUCUUCGUCCGGACCCGAACCGAGCCGCGUUGGCCCCGAGGCCACGGCUCAAGGUUGUUUAUACUAACAGAUUGGCGCUAGAAGGAGGGCCCGGAAUGUCGGGUGAUCACCCGAGCGGCUCAGAUGAGCACGCGGUUGAGAUGUCACGCCCGAUCGAAGCCUCGGGGGAACAUCCCCCGCACGGAGACCAUCGUGACGAACGCCCCGCCACGACCUCCGAACGAUAUUGGUGAAUAUUCAACGACCCGGGCUUAUCGCCACCCGACGGUGCCCCAGCCGACUCAACGCCCGUGUCACCCGAGGCCUUUCAGGACCUCGCUCGUCAAGUCCGAGCUCUGAUGGAAAUGGUGCAAACCAUUAUCCCGCUCGUUUCGCAGCCGGCGCACCCGCCCGCGAUCGAACCAUUACGACAACGCAAGGCGCCCGUUCGGGCCCACAUGACACUAUCGGAGCCCCCCACUUCGCCUCGAGUCCGAUCGACGCCACUCGGGGAUCCAGUGAUGACAAACCCGAGCGGCCGCCCGGAACCCGAGGUACUCUCUUCGGACUCCCUGCGGGCCCAAUUGCGCUUCGUCAACUAGCGACUCAACGAGGUGCAGGAAGAGGUUUGCAGGUCCAAGGGAGAGCUCGGGGAGGACGCACAUUGAGGGUCUCCCUUCUCACCCGAGAUACGGGAUCUGACAGUCCCCCCGGACUUCCAGCUCCCCUCUCUGGACGCUUACCAUGGCUCCACCGACCCAGUGGACCAUGUAGUUGCUUUUCGCGCCCAAAUGGCGCUAUACGGAACCUCUGAUGCCCUGAUGUGCAGAGCGUUUCCUACCACUCUAAGAAGGCCGGCCCACGCGUGGUAUGGCAGCUUGAAGAUUGGAACGAUUGCUUCCUUCAGCCAGCUCGCCAAUGACUUCGAGCUCCACUUCGUAGCCUAUGCACGGCCAAAGCCCUCCGCGGCACUACUCCUCGGACUCAAACAAAGGGAGGAUGAGCCCCUCUCACAUUUUGUGGAUCGCUUUGCCAAGUAAAUCCGGGGCUUGCCGGACACUCACCCCUCUCUGUUAGUGCAGGCGGUUAUGAUAGGCCUGCGACCUUCCAAAUUCCUCUGGUCCCUCGCGGAGCGACCUCCCACUAUGGUGCCAGAGAUGCUCCAACAGGGUAACUGGUACAUCGCAGCGGAGGCCUGAGCGGUCGUGAGGAGAAGGGAUGACCUUCGACCGCGGGCUCCACAAGAGAGGCCAAGCAUCCGCGAUGGCUACCCGAUGUAGUCCUCAUGAAAAGAAAUCUAAGCCCUGCCUCAGUCUCUUUUGAGCGAAGGUUCAGUAUCUGCCUGACCCCCUCUCGGCUCGCGGUUGGCCCCGACUUAAACCCUUCUGAAUCUAAACGGCUCGGUCGUAGACUACUCGAGUCUACUUCAGCGCGGCCUGCCCGCCUGAGUCGUAUCCCACGGCCCGAGCCACGUCCCUCGGCCAUAGACCGCCCGAGCCACACCCCUCGGCCAUGUUGCCCGAGACCACGCCUGCGCGACCUGUCCUCCUGCGUCGUGCUAUUCGGUCGCAUGAUGGCCGAGACACACCUGCGCGGCCUGCCCGCCUACGUCGUGCUACUCGGCCGCAUGAUGCCCGAGACCACACCUGCGCGGCCUGCCCGCCUGCGUCGUGUUCCUCGGCUUCAUGCCCCUGAGACACACCUGCGCGGCUAGCCCGCCUGCGUCGUGUUCCUCGACUUCAUGCCCCCGAGACACACCUGCGCGGCUAGCCCGCUUGUGUCGUGCUCCUCGGCUCCAUGCCUCCCGAGACACACAUGCACGGCCAGCCCACCUGUGUCGUGCUCCUCGGCUCCACGCCUCCCGAGACACACAUGCGCGCCCAGCCCGCCUGUGUCGUGCUCUUCGGCUUCAUGUCCCCAAGACACACUAGCGCGGCCAAUCCAUCUGAAAGCUAAAGCCAUGCCUCGGACUCCCGUUACAACGACCGACACAUAGCUUCUUUCCGGGGGGGAAUAUGAUGAGGAUAAUAAUUAUGAUAAGACUCGGCUGACAUCAGUCGACGCCUCACGCCUCGAUCGGCGCGACUGCACUCGGUCAACCGAACCGGAACACCGGCCGAGGCGCAUUAACGCCCACUCAGGCUCGGUUCUUCACGCCACACCAACGCCCAUGUCAGACGCUAUCAGCCUGCCUCCUACAGGCGAGCACAUCGAACAACAGUAAGCUUCCUUAUAAAUACCCUCUCGUUCAUUAGAGGAGAGGGGGAAAAAAACUCUUCUUCAUCUAAAAUCUCCUCUGCAUCUGCUAACUUGAUCGUCGGAGGGGUCGGGCCGAGCACUCCGACCCGACCUUUGUGCAGGUGCGAAGCCGAGGGUCCCCGCCGGACGCGUGGACGAGGAGUUCCUGUCCGGAGGAAACGGCGACCCCGUCCCGAUCAGACCAUCGCACCAGAACGACCCCACGGGCUCGAGGAACGCCCCGGAGAGAUCUCCUUCGUCCGGACCCGAACCGAGCCGCGUCGGCCCCGAGGCCACGGCUCAAGGUUGUUUAUGAUAGAAGAUAAGAUUUCCCCAACUUGAUAGAAGAUAAGAUUUCCCCAACUAUAUGAGGAAAUUUCUCUAUUCUGUUUAUUCUGGGAAAUCCUUCCUCCUAAUCUGUAUAAAUAGGAGAGGGAACAUGUUAAUAUAUUUAAGCUAAAGUUAUUUCAUUUCUACAAUAAAGCUUCUUCAAUUAUUGUUCUUA